rnacentral:rRNA from 1 species
UACGUAGGGCGCAAGCGUUGUCCGGAAUUAUUGGGCGUAAAGAGCUCGUAGGUGGCUUGUCGCGUCUGCCGUGAAAGCCCAUGGCUUAACUGUGGGUCUGCGGUGGAUACGGGCAGGCUGGAGGCUGGUAGGGGCGAGCGGAACGCUGGGUGGAGCGGUGAAAUGCGUUGAUAUCCAGCGGAACUCCGGUGGCGAAGGCGGCUCGCUGGGCCCUCUCUGACGCUGAGGCGCGAAAGCCAGGGGAGCGAACGGG